rnacentral:rRNA from 1 species
CUCGAUGACAGAGGUAGUAAUAAUAAAUAACAAUACAGGACUCGUCCGAGGCCUUGUAAUUGGAAUGUUUUUAAGAUAAAGACAUGAAGGAGGAACCAUUAGAGGGCAAGUCUGGUGCCAGCAGCCGCGGUAAUUCCAGCUCUAAUAGCGUAUUUUAAUGUUGUUGCGGUUGAAAAGCUCGUAGUUGGAUAUCAUUGAAUGUAUAAGUUCAAUGUGAAUUGUUCUUAUACAGGAGAGGGAAGUCUAGCGGUGAAAAUAAACUUGAAUGUUUAUUUCCACAUAACGCUUGGCUUAAGUUACUUUGAAUAAGUCAAAGUGCGCAAUACAAGCUUUUGCUUGAAUAGACGUGCAUGGAUAACGCAAGAAGAUCAAUAUCGAAUCUGUUGGUUGAAUCGAUAUGGGUAAUGAUUAAUAGAGAUUGACGGGGGCAUUUGUAUUUGAAAGCGAGAGGUGAAAUUCUGUGACCUUUCAAAGACAUGCUAAAGCGAAAGCACUUGCCAAGAAUGUUUUCACUAAUCAAGAACGAAAGUUAGAGGUUCGAAGGCGAUUAGAUACCGCCCUAGUUCUAACCAUAAACAAUGCCAACUAACAAUCUUGUGUAGUUUAAGUUGAAACUAACAAGGAAGUUUUCGGAAAACCAAAGUUUUUGGGUUCCGGGGGUAGUAUGGUUGCAAAGCUGAAACUUAAAGUAAUUGACGGAGUGGCACCACCAGGAGUGGAGCCUGUGGCUUAAUUUGACUCAACACGGGGAAGCUCACCAGGGCAAGACACUAUUAGGAUUGACAGAUUGAUAGCUCUUUCUCGAUAAAGUGGGUGGUGGUGCAUGGCCGUUCUUAGUUGGUGGAGUGAUUUGUCUGGUUAAUUCCGAUAACGAACGAGACUCUGACCAAUUACUAGUGAAAUCUUUAGGAAAGAAAGUUACCGCAGUAAUGCAGUUUCAUUCGAGAUAUUACUUCUUAAGGGGACACGCUAUUGUGAAUAGCACGAGGAAGAGCAAUAACAGGUCUGUGAUGCCCUUAGAUGUUCUGGGCUGCACACGCGCUACAAUAAAUUAAUAAACAAGUUCUCCGUUUUGACAGAUGCGGGCAAACUUUUGAAAUUAAUUUAUGGUAGGAAUGGGAACUUGCAAUUAUUUUCCCUGAACUAGGAAUUCCUAGUAAACGCAAGUCAUCAGCUUGCGUUGAUUUAGUCCCUGCCACUUGUACACACCGCCCGUCGCUACUACCGAUCGGAUUUAUUAGUGAGAUCUAAAGACUUGAGGUGAAAUAACUUUCUUGUUAAUAACCGUCAAGGAAAUAGUUCAAACUGAUAUUUCUAGAGGAAGUAAAA